GGCCGCAUCACGUUGACAUGUUGGUUUCUGUACGAUCACCGAAAUUAAGCAACGACGAGCCUGGUCAGUACCUAGAUGGGUGACCGUUUGGGUAUACCAGGUGUUGUAAG